AAUAGAUACCCGGGUAGUCCACGCCGUAAACGAUGGAUGCUAGCUAUUGGGGGGAAUCGACCCCCUCCGAAGCGAAGCUAACGCGUUAAGCAUCCCGCCUGAGUAGUACGAGCGCAAGCUUAAAACUCAAAGGAAUUGACGGGGACCCGCACAAGCGGUGGAGCGUGUGGUUUAAUUCGAUGGUAAACGAAGAACCUUACCAAGGUUUGACAUCCCGGUAGCCGUUCUCCGAAAGGAGAAUUUCAUUUAGUUGGACCGGUGACAGGUGAUGCAUGGCCGUCGUCAGCUCGUGUCGUGAGAUGUUGGGUUAAGUCCCGCAACGAGCGCAACCCUUAUGAUUUAGUUGGAUUUUUCUAAACAGACUGCCCUGGUAACAGGGAGGAAGGAGGGGAUGAUGUCAGGUCAGUAUUUCCCUUACACCUUGGGGCGACACACGCGCUACAAUGGCCGGUACAAUGGGCAGCUAAGCCGCGAGGUGGAGCAAAUCCCAUCAAAGCCGGUCCCAGUUCGGAUUGCAGGCUGAAACCCGCCUGCAUGAAGUCGGAAUCGCUAGUAACC
rnacentral:rRNA from 1 species